GCCAGAAGAGGUGCGUCGCCCAGGUAAGGUAUUGGAGGAGCCGUUUUCCGAAGAAGAUACCCGAGGGGGAGCGUCGCCGAGGUGAGAUCAACGCCGGCAUUGAUUUCAUCGACCACAGGGGCUGAAUCCCCUGGGUUGUCACCGGCUCAUCCUGCACGACAGGAUGUUCAGCAAGGUGGAGCGCUUCUGGGU
rnacentral:ncRNA from 1 species